rnacentral:rRNA from 2 species
UACGGAGGUGGCAAGCGUUGUUCGGAAUUACUGGGCGUAAAGGGCGCGUAGGCGGCUAGGCAAGUCAGGUGUGAAAGCCCCGGGCUUAACCCGGGAAUUGCAUCUGAAACUGCUGUGCUUGAGUUCUGGAGGGGGUAGUGGAAUUCCCAGUGUAGCGGUGAAAUGCGUAGAUAUUGGGAGGAACACCUGCGGCGAAGGCGGCUACCUGGACAGAAACUGACGCUGAGGCGCGAAAGCUAGGGGAGCGAACGGG